UACGUAGGGGGCAAGCGUUGUCCGGAUUUAUUGGGCGUAAAGAGCGUGUAGGCGGCUUUGCAAGUCCGUUGUGAAAACUCGAGGCUCAACCUCGAGACGCCGGUGGAAACUGCAAAGCUAGAGUCCGGAAGAGGAGAGUGGAAUUCCUGGUGUAGCGGUGAAAUGCGCAGAUAUCAGGAAGAACACCCGUGGCGAAGGCGGCUCUCUGGGACGGUACUGACGCUGAGACGCGAAGGCGUGGGGAGCGAACAGG
rnacentral:rRNA from 1 species